rnacentral:siRNA from 1 species
AAUGUUGUUUACAUAGGUGAUAUG